UACGAAGGGGGCUAGCGUUGCUCGGAAUGACUGGGCGUAAAGGGCGCGUAGGCGGCUCGUACAGUCAGGCGUGAAAUUCCUGGGCUCAACCUGGGGACUGCGCUUGAGACGUGUGGGCUUGAGUGGGGAAGAGGGUCGUGGAAUUCCCAGUGUAGAGGUGAAAUUCGUAGAUAUUGGGAAGAACACCGGUGGCGAAGGCGGCGACCUGGUCCUUGACUGACGCUGAGGCGCGAAAGCGUGGGGAGCAAACAGG
rnacentral:rRNA from 1 species